rnacentral:rRNA from 1 species
UGAGGUGGGAUCCCGGGGGGGCACCCCCCCCCGCGGGCGCACCACCGGCCCGUCUCGCCCGCGCCGUCGGGGAGGUGGAGCGUGAGCGCGCGCGAUAGGACCCGAAAGAUGGUGAACUAUGCCUGGGCAGGGC